rnacentral:snRNA from 1 species
AGCUUUGCGCAGUGGCAGUAACAUAGCUGAUGAGGUUCAUCCGAGGCGUGUUUAUUGCUAGUUGAAAACUAUACCCAAUACCCCGCCUGUGGACGUGUAAAC